rnacentral:rRNA from 1 species
UACGGAGGGUGCAAACGUUGCUCGGAAUCAUUGGGCGUAAAGCGCACGUAGGCGGCCUGAUAAGUCGGGUGUGAAAGCCCUGGACUCAACCCAGGAAGUGCACUCGAAACUGUCAGGCUUGAAUAUGGAAGAGGGUCGCGGAAUUCCCGGUGUAGAGGUGAAAUUCGUAGAUAUCGGGAGGAACACCAGUGGCGAAGGCGGCGACCUGGGCCAAUAUUGACGCUGAGGUGCGAAAGCGUGGGGAGCAAACAGG